UACGUAGGUGGCAAGCGUUAUCCGGAAUUAUUGGGCGUAAAGAGCGCGCAGGUGGUUGAUUAAGUCUGAUGUGAAAGCCCACGGCUUAACCGUGGAGGGUCAUUGGAAACUGGUUGACUUGAGUGCAGAAGAGGGAAGUGGAAUUCCAUGUGUAGCGGUGAAAUGCGUAGAGAUAUGGAGGAAAACCAGUGGCGAAGGCGGCUUCCUGGUCUGUAACUGACACUGAGGCGCGAAAGCGUGGGGAGCAAACAGGAUUAGAUACCCCGGUA
rnacentral:rRNA from 1 species